UAGCUGAAAACUCACCAAGAAUUGAAUUAUUCCAACAGAAUACAGGAAUUUUUCUCUCUUUAUGGUGACCAAAUCCUCACUGUGCUUCACAGGUGUUGGCUGUGAAGUUGUUAUCUCCCAGAAUGUACCACAGGAUAAGACUUCUGGCAACUAAAGCUCAAUUCUCUGUCUCACCAUGUUUGUGCUGGCGAGGCAGGGAGUGUUGUGUGUGAGUGGGUGGCAGGAAAUGUGAAGGAUGAGCUGUCAAGGAGUUCGGUGUGAGUGGGCUGCCUUCAUGUCCCUGAAUUUUGUCUGUCCAUAUAGCAGCUUUAUUUGAUCCUGCAGCAUUAUGCCAACCUUUGACAACUGGCACUGAGCCCUCAAGGGAACAGGAGCAAGUGUUUGUUUGUUUCAUUCUGCAAAGGCCAAUCCUCAAGGCAAGACAAAUGACAGUUCACUUUAAAGCUAAGCAGGAGCUAGAAGAAAUGUCCCUUAACUCCUGUGGCCCUGUUCAGGCCGUGUAAUGCCUGCUGCAAUAGGUCAGGCCCUCAGCUCUUCUAGGAACCCUUGUUGAUUUAUGUGGCCAAUAACACAGUC